rnacentral:rRNA from 1 species
UACCCAGACUCCUACGGGAGGCAGCAGUGGGGAAUAUUGCACAAUGGGGGAAACCCUGAUGCAGCAACGCCGCGUGAGUGAGGAAGUAUUUCGGUAUGUAAAGCUCUAUCAGCAGGGAAUAGAAAAGAAGGUACCUGAAAAAGAAGCCCCGGCUAACUACGUGCCAGCAGCCGCGGUAAUACGUAGGGGGCAAGCGUUAUCCGGAUUUACUGGGUGUAAAGGGAGCGCAGGCGGCACGGCAAGCCUGAUGUGAAAGCCCGCGGCCCAACCGCGGGACUGCAUUGGGAACUACCGGGCUGGAGUGCCGGAGAGGUAGGCGGAAUUCCCAGUGUAGCGGUGAAAUGCGUAGAUAUUAGGAGGAACACCGGCGGCGAAGGCGGCCUGCUGGACCGCUACUGACGUUGAGGCUCGAAAGCGUGGGGAGCGAACAGGAUUAGAUACCCGCGUAA